CCUAAUUAACACUAAUAAACACUAAUACUACUAUAUUGAUUCCAAAAAUUCAACGUCAAUUGCAAUUAAAGUAAAAGAUUAGCAAAAGGGAAUUAGGGUUGGUACCAAUGACCAUCGGGUGCCUGAACUUCAUCUCCCUUCUCUUCUGCGGCCGAAAAUGGCGACGGCGUAUAUGCUACCGUCUCCGAUCAUAAUCCAAGGCAAAACCGCAACCAUACAUCUCUCGGCUCGCUCUCAAUCUCGCUCUCUUCUCAAGAUCUCUCGCUCAUCGUCUCACGGAUAACGCCGUCGUAUCGGUGAAUGCCUCAUAGCAGCGGCGACUCAGGGAACUCAAUUGAUGUCAUCUCAACCACCCUCCGUCUUUGACUCGUCCUCUUCUUCUAUCUCGCUUCUUCGUUUUUCUCAGUUGAUGGUGUUGAUGUGAACGUGUCGCGAUGAUGAUGCUAAUACUGUGUGAGUUCAAUCGGAUGGUGAACGUUGUGAUGCUGAACGAUAGUUAUUUGUUGUGCGAAGCGGUGAACUCAGUCUUGCGAUGAGAAGAUGAAUACGUGAGAUGAAUAAUCGUUGAGAAGGAGAAUCUGAAGCGUGAUUGAAGAUUUCUCGAUGAAUUGCGGAUAAUGAAGAUUCAAGAGCGAGCCUUCAUGAGUUUGUUACAGAUUCAUUGUGACGAAGAACAAAUCAUCAAUGUUGUGGGUUGUGGAGUUGAUUCGAAACAAAGAGCCAAGAUGAUGAUGAUAUUGUUGUUGCUGCGAUGGUGAUCCGAUGAAGAUAGGUGAAUUCCGAGAGAGAGUUUUAGAGACUCAAAGUUUGUUACGUUUUUGAAAAUCUGUUAUUGGUGAAUUGAAGUGUGUAUUCUGAGAAUUCCCGAGUUUCCAGAGCAAGAUUGAAGAUGAUGAAGAUUUAACCGUGGAGAAGAUUGAGAUGGAGGUGGAAUCGGCUCAGAGUCAAGAGAGUAUUGAAGAAUUCUGGUCCUGGAGAUUGUUGAUUGAUGAAGAUGAAGAUGAUGAACGUGAUGAUUGAAGAGGUUCUGAGAUUCUCUGAAGUUUGUUACGUUCUUUUUUCCGGUUAUCGUGAUUGAGAUUGAAGAGAGGUUGGGGGAGAUGAAUUCAGAGAGAGAGAGGUUGAAGUUUGUAACCGCUUUCUGUUUUGAUUUGUUCGGUUCUUCUUGCUUCAGAAUGUUGGCUUGAAUGCAGCAGGUGGUUCUUUGAUGGAGCAUGAAAGGAAAAAUCCAUUUUUUUUGUAUAAUUUUUGUAAUUGAUUUAGUGGGUUUUGUGAUUUGAAUUAUGGACUGAAUAUUGAAUAAAGGAUGUAUAGAUUUUUGUAUUGAACCAUGACGGGCUUUUUUGGUGUAUUUGAAUUUUUGUAAUUCAAUUUUUUUAUGAUGAAUGGUAUGGACUUUUGUAAUGGAUAUAGGAGAUUUUGGUUUUGGAAUAACAAUGAACAAGAAUUCUUUUUUCUCUAAAUGAAUUUCGAAUGAACAUUUUCCUCCAGGGCCUCACUUGCACUUCCAAGUCUUCACAUUGCAAAUUUUGAAUCAAUAGUAAAUUUCGGCAUAUGGUUUUCCAACCUUGAAAUGAUGCACCGAAACUCCAUAUAAACUUCAUUCCUUGCAUAAAAUCCCAAGGCCUUAUAACACAAGUAAUCAUAUGAAUCUAAACCUUGAAUGAUGAUAAAUCAGAAAAACCUUUGAUCGUGAGCACCACAUUAUAUG